rnacentral:ncRNA from 1 species
UGAGCCYUGGUAUGGAAACCUANUAAGUGAUAACUUUCAAAUUCAGAGAAACCCCGGAAAAAAAAAUGGGCAAUCCUGAGCCAAAUCUUUAUUUUUUWCGCAAACAAAUUAGGAAAGCGAAAAAAAAGGAUAGGUGCAGAGACUCAAUGGAAGCUGUUYUAACAAAUGGAGUUGACUGCGUUGGAAGAAUAGGAAUCUUCCAAACUCUCGAAGAAAGAGAACUCUAUAUACAUACGUACAUGAAUACCGUAUUAAAUGAUUUAUAUCAAAAUAGAUAAAUUUUUGUGAAUUGAUUUCACAUUGAAUAAAGAUUUGCAUAUUUAUUGAUCAAAUCAUUUACUCCAUCGUCUACUAGUUGAAGAACUGAUAAAUCGGACGAGAAUAAAGAUAGAGUCCCGUUCUACAUGUCAAUACCGACAACAAUGAAAUUUUUUGUAAGAGGAAAAUCCGYCGACUUUAGAAWUCGUGAGG